rnacentral:piRNA from 1 species
UGCUAUUUCCGAACCACCCAAGGCCU